GAAGAACCUUACCUACCCUUGACAUCUAGAGAAUUUUUCAGAGAUAGUAGAGUGCCUUAAAGAGAUCUGAAACACAGGUUGCACAUGGGUGGUCUCCUCGUGUGGUGAGAGGUUGUGGGAUUACUCCCAAAAAGAGCAACCCCCUUCUUUAUUAGCCCCAUCAUUAAGUUGGGCACUCUAAUGAGACUGCCGGUGAUAAACCGGAGGAAGGUGGGGAUGACGUCAAGUCCUCAUGGCCCUUAUGGGUAGGGCUACACACGUAAUACAAUGGCCGGUACAGAGGGUUGCCAACCCGCGAGGGGGAGCUAAUCCCAGAAAGCCGGUCGUAGUCCGGAUUGGAGUCUGCAACUCGACUCCAUGGAGUCGGAAUCGGUAGGA
rnacentral:rRNA from 1 species